AAUCAGCAUUCCAGCCAAUCAGCAGCAGACCCUCCCUCCCAGACCCUCCCACCUCCUGGACAGCAUCCAUUUUACAUUCAUUGUGAAGCUGCAUUCUUAGUGAGCUGUCCAGGAGGUGGGAGGGUCUGGGAGGGAGGGUCUGCUGCUGAUUGGCUGGAAUGUGUCU